UAAGACGUAGGAUGCAAGCGUUGUCCGGAUUUAUUGGGCGUAAAGAGUUCGUAGGCUGUUUGUUAAGUCUGGUGUUAAAGACUGAGGCCCAACCUCGGAAAUGCAUCGGAUACUGGCAGACUUGAGUACGGUAGAGGCGAGUGGAAUUCCCAGUGUAGCGGUGAAAUGCGUAGAUAUUGGGAAGAACACCGGUGGCGUAGGCGACUCGCUGGGCCGCAACUGACGCUGAGGAACGAAAGCCAGGGGAGCGAAUGGGAUUAGAUACCCCAGUAGUCCUGGCUGUAAACGAUGGAUACUAGGCGUUAUGGGUAUCGACCCCCGUAGUGCCGCAGCUAACGCGAUAAGUAUCCCGCCUGAGUAGUACGGCCGCAAGGUUG
rnacentral:rRNA from 1 species